CCUACGGGAGGCAGCAGUGGGGAAUAUUGCACAAUGGAGGAAACUCUGAUGCAGCGACGCCGCGUGAGGGAAGAAGGAUUUCGGUAUGUAAACUUCUAUCAGCAGGGAAGAAAAUGACGGUACCUGUCUAGUCCGCCCCGUCUCACUACGUUCCAGCAGCCGCGGUACUACGUAGGUGGCAAGCGUUGUCCGGAUUUGCUGGGGGUAAAGGGAGCGUAGGCGGUGAAGCAAGUCAGCAGUUAAAGCCCGGGGCUCAACUCCGAGACUGCUUUUGAAACUGUUGAACUAGAUUGCAGGAGAGGUAAGUGGAAUUCCUAGUGUAGCGGUGAAAUGCGUAGAUAUUAGGAGGAACACCAGUGGCGAAGGCGGCUUACUGGACUGUAAAUGACGCUGAGGCUCGAAAGCGUGGGGAGCAAACAGGAUUAGAUACCCCUGUAGUC
rnacentral:rRNA from 1 species